UCCUGGCUCAGAUUGAACGCUGGCGGCAGGCCUAACACAUGCAAGUCGAGCGGAUGAGUGGAGCUUGCUCCAUGAUUCAGCGGCGGACGGGUGAGUAAUGCCUAGGAAUCUGCCUGGUAGUGGGGGACAACGUUUCGAAAGGAACGCUAAUACCGCAUACGUCCUACGGGAGAAAGUGGGGGAUCUUCGGACCUCACGCUAUCAGAUGAGCCUAGGUCGGAUUAGCUAGUUGGUGAGGUAAAGGCUCACCAAGGCGACGAUCCGUAACUGGUCUGAGAGGAUGAUCAGUCACACUGGAACUGAGACACGGUCCAGACUCCUACGGGAGGCAGCAGUGGGGAAUAUUGGACAAUGGGCGAAAGCCUGAUCCAGCCAUGCCGCGUGUGUGAAGAAGGUCUUCGGAUUGUAAAGCACUUUAAGUUGGGAGGAAGGGCAGUAAGUUAAUACCUUGCUGUUUUGACGUUACCAACAGAAUAAGCACCGG
rnacentral:rRNA from 2 species